rnacentral:rRNA from 1 species
UACAGAGACUGCAAGCGUUAUUCGGAUUCACUGGGCGUAAAGGGUGCGCAGGCGGCCGUGUGUGUCAGGUGUGAAAGCCCGGGGCUUAACCCCGGAAUUGCGCCUGAAACUACAUGGCUAGAGCAUUGGAGAGGAACGCGGAAUUCCAGGUGUAGCGGUGAAAUGCGUAGAUAUCUGGAGGAACACCGGUGGCGAAGGCGGGUCUCUGGACAGCUCCUGACACUGAGGCACGAAGGCCAGGGGAGCAAAGCGGG